rnacentral:rRNA from 1 species
UAGGGAAUAUUAGAAAUGGACGAAAGUCCGAUCUAGCCACACCGCGUGUGCGAAGAAGGCCUUCGGGUUGUAAAGCACUUUUUGGAAGGAAUAGGAAGGAAAGUACUUCCAGAAUAAGACUCGGCUAACUACGUGCCAGCAGACGCGGUAACACGCAGGAGGCAAACGUUAUCCGGAUUUACUGGGCGUAAAGCGCGUGUAGGUGGUUCUGUAAGUAGGGCGUGAAAGCUCCUGGCUCAACUGGGAGAGGCCGUUCUAAACUGCAGAGCUAGAGGAUGGUAGAGGGAGGUGGAAUUCCGGGUGUAGCGGUGGAAUGCGCAGAUAUCCGGAGGAACACCAGUGGCGAAAGCGGCCUCCUGGACCAUUCCUGACACUCAGACGCGAAAGCUAGGGUAGCAAACG